UACGAAGGGGGCUAGCGUUGCUCGGAAUCACUGGGCGUAAAGCGCACGUAGGCGGCUUUUUAAGUCAGGGGUGAAAUCCUGGAGCUCAACUCCAGAACUGCCUUCGAUACUGGCGAUCUUGAGUCCGGGAGAGGUGAGUGGAACUGCGAGUGUAGAGGUGAAAUUCGUAGAUAUUCGCAAGAACACCAGUGGCGAAGGCGGCUCACUGGCCCGGUACUGACGCUGAGGUGCGAAAGCGUGGGGAGCAAACAGG
rnacentral:rRNA from 1 species